rnacentral:rRNA from 1 species
CCUGCGCGGGCUAUACAUGCAAGUCGAGCGAAUGGAUUAAGAGCUUGCUCUUAUGAAGUUAGCGGCGGACGGGUGAGUAACACGUGGGUAACCUGCCCAUAAGACUGGGAUAACUCCGGGAAACCGGGGCUAAUACCGGAUAACAUUUUGAACCGCAUGGUUCAAAAUUGAAAGGCGGCUUCGGCUGUCACUUAUGGAUGGACCCGCGUCGCAUUAGCUAGUUGGUGAGGUAACGGCUCACCAAGGCAACGAUGCGUAGCCGACCUGAGAGGGUGAUCGGCCACACUGGGACUGAGACACGGCCCACACUCCUACGGGAGGCAGCAGUAGGGAAUCUUCCGCAAUGGACGAAAGUCUGACGGAGCAACGCCGCGUGAGUGAUGAAGGCUUUCGGGUCGUAAAACUCUGUUGUUAGGGAAGAACAAGUGCUAGUUGAAUAAGCUGGCACCUUGACGGUACCUAACCAGAAAGCCACGGCUAACUACGUGCCAGCAGCCGCGGUAAUACGUAGGUGGCAAGCGUUAUCCGGAAUUAUUGGGCGUAAAGCGCGCGCAGGUGGUUUCUUAAGUCUGAUGUGAAAGCCCACGGCUCAACCGUGGAGGGUCAUUGGAAACUGGGAGACUUGAGUGCAGAAGAGGAAAGUGGAAUUCCAUGUGUAGCGGGAAUAUCCCUUAAAAAAAA